ACACGUGGGUAACCUGCCUUAUAGUGGGGGAUAGCCUUUCGAAGGGAAGAUUAAUACCGCAUAAGAUUGUAGUAUCGCAUGAUAUAGCAAUUAAAGGAGCAAUCCGCUAUAAGAUGGACCCGCGUCGCAUUAGCUAGUUGGUGAGGUAAUGGCUCACCAAGGCGACGAUGCGUAGCCGACCUGAGAGGGUGAUCGGCCACAUUGGGACUGAGACACGGCCCAGACUCCUACGGGAGGCAGCAUG
rnacentral:rRNA from 1 species